UACAGAGGGGGCAAGCGUUAUUCGGAAUUAUUGGGCGUAAAGGGCGCGUAGGCGGCCUGGCAAGUGACGGGUGAGAGCCCUCGGCUUAACCGAGGAACUGCCUGUCAGACUGUUAGGCUUGAGACCGGGAGAGGUGAGUGGAAUUCCCAGUGUAGCGGUGAAAUGCGUAGAUAUUGGGAGGAACACCAGUGGCGAAGGCGGCUCACUGGACCGGUACUGACGCUGAGGCGCGAAAGCGUGGGGAGCAAAC
rnacentral:rRNA from 1 species